GAUGGGCACGGUAUCUCGUGCCUGUAGUCCCAGCUUCUCUGGAGGCUGAGGCAAGAGGAUAACUUGAGUCCGGGAGUUCUGGGCUGUAGUGUGCUAUGUCAAUUGGGUGUCUGCACUAAGUUCAACAUCACUAUGGUGACCUUCCUGGAGCAGACCACCAGGUUGCCUAAGCCAGGGUAAAAAGGCCCAGGUUGGAAAUAGAGCAGGUCAAAACUCCCAUGCUGAUCACGGGACCAUGAUCAUAGUGGGACCAUGCCUAGGAAAUAAGUGAGACCCUGUCUU
rnacentral:SRP_RNA from 10 species